UACGAAGGGUGCAAGCGUUAAUCGGAAUUACUGGGCGUAAAGCGUGCGUAGGCGGUUGGCUAAGUCAGAUGUGAAAGCCCUGGGCUCAACCUGGGAAUGGCAUUUGAACUGGCGAGCUAGAGUGUGAUAGAGGAUGGCGGAAUUCCCGGUGUAGCGGUGGAAUGCGUAGAGAUCGGGAAGAACAUCGGUGGCGAAGGCGGCCUGCUGGGCUCUUGCUGACACUGAGGCGCGACAGCGUGGGGAGCAAACAGG
rnacentral:rRNA from 1 species